GCCGGGCGCAGUGGCAGGUGCCUGUAGUCUCAGCUACUCGGGAGGCUGAGGUGGGAGGAUCGCUUGAGUCCAGGAGUUCUGGGCUGUAGUGCACCAUGCUGAUCGGGUGUCCGCACUAAGGUCGGCAUCAAUAUGGUGACCUCCUGGGAGUGGGGGACCACCAGGUUGCCUAAGGAGGGGUGAACCGGCCCAGGUCGAAAACGGAACAGGUCAAACUCCUGUGCUGAUCAGUAGUGGGAUCGCGCCUGUGAAUAGCCACUGCACUCCAGCCUAAGCAACAUCGCAGGACCCUGUCUCA
rnacentral:SRP_RNA from 1 species